rnacentral:rRNA from 1 species
GACGAACGCUGGCGGCGUGCCUAAUACAUGCAAGUUGAGCGCUGAAGGUUGGUACUUGUACCAACUGGAUGAGCAGCGAACGGGUGAGUAACGCGUGGGGAAUCUGCCUUUGAGCGGGGGACAACAUUUGGAAACGAAUGCUAAUACCGCAUAAAAACUUUAAACACAAGUUUUAAGUUUGAAAGAUGCAAUUGCAUCACUCAAAGAUGAUCCCGCGUUGUAUUAGCUAGUUGGUGAGGUAAAGGCUCACCAAGGCGAUGAUACAUAGCCGACCUGAGAGGGUGCUCGGCCACAUUGGGACUGAGACACGGCCCAAACUCCUACGGGAGGCAGCAGUAGGGAAUCUUCGGCAAUGGACGAAAGUCUGACCGAGCAACGCCGCGUGAGUGAAGAAGGUUUUCGGAUCGUAAAACUCUGUUGGUAGAGAAGAACGUUGGUGAGAGUGGAAAGCUCAUCAAGUGACGGUAACUACCCCGAAAGGGACGGCUAACUACGUG